rnacentral:rRNA from 1 species
GACGAACGCUGGCGGCGUGCCUAAUACAUGCACGUAGGACGCAGUUGCGAACGGGGGAGUAACGCGUAGGUAACUACCUAUUAGAGGGGGAUAACUAUUGGAAACGAUAGCUAAUACCGCAUACUCGUAGAUGGACAUGCGUGGUGUUAGCGAGUAGGUAGGGUAAUGGCCUACCUAGGACAAGAUACAUAGCCGACCUGAGAGGGUGAUCCGCCACACUGGGACUGAGACACGGCCCAGACUCCGACUGGAGGCAGCAGUAGGGAAUCUUCGGCAAUGGGGGGAACCCUGACCGAGCAACGCCGCGUGAGUGAAGAAGGUUUUCGGAUCGUAAAGCUCUGUUGUUAAUGAAGCGGUACUUAACCAGAAAGGGACGGCUAACUACGUGCCAGCAGCCGCGGUAAUUC